rnacentral:lncRNA from 1 species
UCAUUGAAAUGGAGAAGUUCCCUCCCGUGACAGCUUGGUCUGCUAUCAUAGCUUAUAUGUCCAACAGUCCAUCUGGAGCGUUCCUUGCAGCUGAAUUGGUUCUUGAAAUUGGUUACAAGUUCCACGACGGGAGGGUUGAUCCACGAAAGAAGUGCAAUGAACCUUUAAUUUCUAUGAAGCCUAAUGCAACUGCUCUUAACAUAGCUUUGGUGGGGUGCCUUCGGUUUGGCAUCACUAGGAAAGGAGAGCAACUCCUUGAUAUGAUUCCUCGGAUUAAUAUGAAAACUGAUGCAACUUCAUCAAUC